rnacentral:rRNA from 1 species
GAUGAACGCUGGCGGCGUGCCUAAUACAUGCAAGUCGAGCGAACAGACGAGGAGCUUGCUCCUCUGACGUUAGCGGCGGACGGGUGAGUAACACGUGGAUAACCUACCUAUCAGACUGGGAUAACUUCGGGAAACCGGCGCUAAUACCGGAUAAUAUAUUGAACCGCAUGGUUCAAUAGUGAAAGACGGUUUUGCUGUCACUUAUAGAUGGAUCCGCGCCGCAUUAGCUAGUUGGUAAGGUAACGGCUUACCAAGGCGACGAUGCGUAGCCGACCUGAGAGGGGGAUCGGCCACACUGGAACUGAGACACGGUCAAGACUCCUACGGGAGGCAGCAGUAGGGAAUCUUACGCAAUGGGCGAAAGCCUGGCGGAGCAACGCCGCGUGAGUGAUGAAGGUCUUCGGAUCGUAAAACUCUGUUAUUAGGGAAGAACAAAUGUGUAAGUAACUAUGCACGUCUUGACGGUACCUAAUCAGAAAGCCACGGCUAACUACGUG